rnacentral:rRNA from 1 species
UACGGGGGGAGCAAGCGUUGUUCGGAUUUACUGGGCGUAAAGGGCGCGUAGGCGGUCAGCACAAGUCAGUUGUGAAAUCUCCGGGCUUAACUCGGAAAGGUCAACUGAUACUGUGCGACUAGAGUGCAGAAGGGGCAACUGGGAAUUCUCGGUGUAGCGGUGAAAUGCGUAGAUAUCGAGAGGAACACCUGCGGCGAAGGCGGGUUGCUGGGCUGACACUGACGCUGAUGCGCGAAAGCCAGGGGAGCGAACGGGG